rnacentral:rRNA from 1 species
GUGCCAGCCGCCGCGGUAAUACGGAGGGUGCGAGCGUUGUCCGGAAUCACUGGGCGUAAAGGGCGCGUAGGCGGCGCGAGCAGUCGGCGGUGAAAGCCCGGAGCUCAACUCCGGGUCGGCCGUCGAUACUCUCGUGCUUGAGCACUGUAGAGGCAGGUGGAAUUCCGGGUGUAGCGGUGGAAUGCGUAGAGAUCCGGAAGAACACCGGUGGCGAAGGCGGCCUGCUGGGCAGUAGCUGACGCUGAUGCGCGACAGCGUGGGGAGCAAACAGGAUUAGAUACCCCCGUAGUCC